AGUGAACGCUGGCGGUAGGCCUAACACAUGCAAGUCGAACGGCAGCACAGUAAGAGCUUGCUCUUACGGGUGGCGAGUGGCGGACGGGUGAGGAAUACAUCGGAAUCUACUUUUUCGUGGGGGAUAACGUAGGGAAACUUGCGCUAAUACCGCAUACGACCUACGGGUGAAAGCAGGGGAUCUUCGGACCUUGCGCGAUUGAAUGAGCCGAUGUCGGAUUAGCUAGUUGGCGGGGUAAAGGCCCACCAAGGCGACGAUCCGUAGCUGGUCUGAGAGGAUGAUCAGCCACACUGGAACUGAGACACGGUCCAGGCUCCUACGGGAGGCAGCAGUGGGGAAUAUUGGACAAUGGGCGCAAGCCUGAUCCAGCCAUACCGCGUGGGUGAAGAAGGCCUUCGGGUUGUAAAGCCCUUUUGUUGGGAAAGAAAAGCAGCAGGUUAAUACCCCGCUGUUCUGACGGUACCCAAAGAAUAAGCACCGGCUAACUUCGUG
rnacentral:rRNA from 1 species